rnacentral:rRNA from 1 species
AUCAUUAUUGAAUAAAUCUGGUCAGUUGUAGCUGGCUCUCCGGAGCAUGUGCACGCUGGUCACCUUUAUCUUUCCACCUGUGAACACACUGUAGUCCUGGAUACCUCUCGCCACAAGGCGGAUGCGUAGUUUGGCGCGCUGCUCACAAGAGCGGUCGGCUUACCGCGAAUUUCCAGGUCUAUGAUUAUACAAACCCCAAANGAAUGUAACAGAAUGUAAUCAUUGGGCCUCGUGCCUAUAAACCUAUACAACUUUCAGCAACGGAUCUCUUGGCUCUCGCAUCGAUGAAGAACGCAGCGAAAUGCGAUAAGUAAUGUGAAUUGCAGAAUUCAGUGAAUCAUCGAAUCUUUGAACGCACCUUGCGCUCCUUGGUAUUCCGAGGAGCAUGCCUGUUUGAGUGUCAUUAAAUUCUCAACCUCACCAAUUUUGUAAUGAGAUUGUGUGCGGCUUGGAUGUGGGGGUUGCAGGUCCGCCUCGGUGGUCUGCUCUUCUGAAAUGUAUUAGUGGGUUUGGUCCCCUAAUCUAUUGGUGUGAUAAUUAUCUACGCCGUGGGUUGGGAGACGCUUGUGAACCUGCUUUUAACCGUCCCUUACAAGGACA